rnacentral:rRNA from 1 species
AUUGAACGCUGGCGGCAGGCCUAACACAUGCAAGUCGAGCGGAUGAAGGGAGCUUGCUCCUGGAUUCAGCGGCGGACGGGUGAGUAAUGCCUAGGAAUCUGCCUGGUAGUGGGGGAUAACGUCCGGAAACGGGCGCUAAUACCGCAUACGUCCUGAGGGAGAAAGUGGGGGAUCUUCGGACCUCACGCUAUCAGAUGAGCCUAGGUCGGAUUAGCUAGUUGGUGGGGUAAAGGCCUACCAAGGCGACGAUCCGUAACUGGUCUGAGAGGAUGAUCAGUCAGAGAGGGACGGAGACGGAGUGAAGACUGGGGGGGGAGGCAGCAGGGGAGAAAAAGAGGCAAGGGGCGAAAAGAUGAACAACCGAUGGUGGGAGGAUGAAGAAGGUUGACGGAUAUGAAAACAUGGUAAGGGGGGAGGAAGGACAGUAAGUUAAUAUAUGACUGUUUUGACAGAAACAACAGAAGAAGCACCGACUAACUGCGAGACAGAAGCCACGGUAACAAUCGGAAGAGCACACGCCUGAAC